ACUCAAAUGAAUUGACGGGGGCCCGCACAAGCGGUGGAGCAUGUGGUUCAAUUCGACGCAACGCGAAGAACCUUACCCAGGCUUGAACAGCGAGUGACAAACUACGAAAGUGGUCUUCCGCAAGGACACUCGUAGAGGUGCUGCAUGGCUGUCGUCAGCUCGUGUCGUGAGAUGUUGGGUUAAGUCCCGCAACGAGCGCAACCCUUGUCUUCUGUUGCCAUCAGGUCAAGCUGGGCACUCUGGAGAGACUGCCGGUGAUAAACCGGAGGAAGGUGGGGAUGACGUCAAGUCAGCAUGGCCUUUAUGUCUGGGGCUACACACGUGCUACAAUGGCCGACACAAACCGUCGCAAAGCCGCGAGGUGGAGCUAAUCGGAUAAAGUCGGUCUCAGUUCGGAUAGCAGGCUGCAACUCGCCUGCUUGAAGUUGGAAUCGCUAGUAAUCGCGGAUCAGCACGCCGCGGUGAAUACGUUCCCGGGCCUUGUACACACCGCCCGU
rnacentral:rRNA from 1 species